UACGAAGGGGGGCUAGCGUUGCUCGGAAUGACUGGGCGUAAAGGGCACGUAGGCGGUGAAUCGGGUUGAAAGUGAAAGUCGCCAAAAAGUGGCGGAAUGCUCUCGAAAACCAAUUCACUUGAGUGAGACAGAGGAGAGUGGAAUUUCGUGUGUAGGGGUGAAAUCCGUAGAUCUACGAAGGAACGCCAAAAAGCGAAGGCAGCUCUCUGGGUCCCUACCGGAGCUGGGGUGCGAAAGCAU
rnacentral:rRNA from 1 species